rnacentral:rRNA from 1 species
ACACCAGCGCCUCGAGUGGUACCCACGUAUACUGGGCCUAAAGCGUCCGUAGCCGGCCUGAAAAGUCCUCUGUGAAAUAGUGGGGCUCAACUCCACUGCGCGCAGGGGAUACUGCCGGGCUUGGGAGCGUGGGAGGUAAGGGGUACACCUAGGGUAGGGGUAAAAUCCGUUGAGCCUAGGCGGACCACCAGUGGCGAAGGCGCCUUACCAAAACGCGUCCGACGGUGAGGGACGAAAGCUGGGGGAGCGAACGGGAUUAGAUACCCCGGUAGUCCCAGCUGUAAAUGAUGCAGACUGUGGUGUUGCGUCAGACUUAAUCUGCCGCAGUGCUGUAGCGUAGGUGUUAAGUCUGCCGCCUGGGGAGUACGACCGCAAGGUUGAAACUUAAAGGAAUUGACGGGG